rnacentral:lncRNA from 1 species
CCCCUCGGGACAAAGAAGAAGAAGAAAGGAAAAUAGAGUUUCAAACUAAUUUAAAAAAUAAGAUUCAAACACUUCAGAUAUUAUACAAUUUAUUUUCUUUUUACUUUCUCUCAUGGCUGCCUUUACCAAUCAUUUCUCCUUCAUCUUCCUCCUUCUUAUCCCCAUUUCUUCAUUGCAAAUCCAUGCAAGAGAAAGCCAAUUCUUUAACAAAAUCUCCAGUGAAUACAAUACUGAAAAAAAUACACAAGUAGUUAUUUCCAACAAAGAACAAGAACCAAACUUCUUGAAUGAAAAUGAAAAUAAUGGCUAUGGCCUAUAAGGUCAUGAGUCUGGUCAAAUUCCUCCAUCCACAACCACUACUAAUAAUAUAGAGAAAUCCUACAAAGAAAUUAACCCCAUCACCAUCCCAACUAAUAAUAUUCCCAACAAGUACCUUCUCAAGAAUAACAACCAUGUGGCCCAUGUCACAGUCCUAAAGAACGAUGAGAACAACAACAACAACGAGAAAAACUACAAUGGCGGC